rnacentral:rRNA from 1 species
AGAGUUUGAUCAUGGCUCAGGACGAACGCUGGCGGCGUGCUUAACACAUGCAAGUCGAACGAUGAGGCCUUUCGGGGCUGAUUAGUGGCGAACGGGUGAGUAACACGUGGGCAACCUGCCCUCCACUCUGGGAUAACUCCGGGAAACCGGGGCUAAUACUGGAUACGACCCUCCCUCGCAUGGGGGUGGGUGGAAAGUUUUUCGGUGGAGGAUGGGCCCGCGGCCUAUCAGCUUGUUGGUGGGGUGAUGGCCUACCAAGGCGGUGACGGGUAGCCGGCCUGAGAGGGCGACCGGCCACACUGGGACUGAGACACGGCCCAGACUCCUGCGGGAGGCAGCAGUGGGGAAUAUUGCACAAUGGGCGAAAGCCUGAUGCAGCGACGCCGCGUGAGGGAUGACGGCCUUCGGGUUGUAAACCUCUUUCAGCAGGGACCAAGCUUUCGGGUGAGUGUACCUGCAGAAGAAGCACCGGCUAACUACGUGCCAGCAGCCGCGGUAAUACGUAGGGUGCGAGCGUUGUCCGGAUUUAUUGGGCGUAAAGGGCUCGUAGGCGGCCUGUCGCGUCGGAAGUGAAAGCCCACUGCUUAACGGUGGGUCUGCUUCCGGUACGGGCAGGCUGGAGUAUGGCAGGGGAGACUGGAAUUCCUGGUGUAGCGGUGGAAUGCGCAGAUAUCAGGAGGAACACCGGUGGCGAAGGCGGGUCUCUGGGCCAUUACUGACGCUGAGGAGCGAAAGCGUGGGGAGCGAACAGGAUUAGAUACCCUAGUAGUCC